GAGGAGGGCAGCCUCCCCCCCAAACCCCACGCCCUCCCUCUCCUCGCUCCUGGGCGUCACUAAAGUCCAGGAAAAUUAUGCUAAUGAGGACAACGGGCUCUCACAAAGGGGUCUCUCGCCGGGUUCUAUUUCUUAGGAAGCCGUUUGAGAAACCAUGUCACCCUCUGCCCCAGACACUUCCAGUUGAGGGGCGAGGAAACAAGAACCAGAGAGAGUCCCCCAGACUUCGGGCGGUUGCCCUCACCUGCCACCCCUAAUCUAAGAACCACAAAGCCAAUCUGGGGGGGGGGGGGGCUCGGAUAGGGCCUCCUUUCUCGAGAGACCUCCCCACGAGCCUACAGGGCUGCCCGUGGUUAUGUUUCUAGGCAGAAACACUGAAAUCCUGGCAGCCGGGAGCAAAGGAGCCGGGAGAUGCACGGUGGGGGGCGGGCAAAUGGGCAGCCCCAGGCUCAGGUAGCACAAGGUUCCAGAAACCUGGGCCUCCAGCCCUUGUGUGCGGGGGUCACAGGACAAACAUGCAGGUCACUCACAGGGAAGGACUGAUAAAGCUCUGACCCCAACAGCCACCGACAUCCACGGUAUCCACCCCCCACCCUAGUUAGUGGUACACAGGGAAGCUGAGCAGAGGAAAGGCCUGAAUGUGCCCGCAAUAUUUCCACAACUUUAAGGAGGAUAGUCUCCCUCCCUCCAUUGCCUCGCUCAACUCCCCAGAUUCAGAAGUGAACCCUGCAAGGGUAUGUGUGUGACAAAAAGGGAGAAAUGGAGCUUUCGUGCAAUUCUAAGGUGUCAACGGCCGGUCCUUCUCAAAGGAAGGUGUUAAAAAUAUAAGUAGUAUGUUUAAACUGUCAGGGAGCCAAAGUGUCACCUUAGAGCAAAAACAAAGCCAAGGGAGAAGGGAGAAAUCAAAAAGCACUCCGGGCCAGGGUGGCCUCAUGCAUACCAAUGGUUUUUGUCAUUUAUGGCUGGGCAAGAUUUAUGACUCGGCGCCCCAAAGCUGUAAACAGAGCACAAAACAGCAAACACUUGCUCCUUAUGGCAUAUUGCAGCAGCUCAACUUGAAAGGGGGAGCCGGGCCGCGUAGGAGGCGAGAGCCGGCCACAAAAAUCCGCUCGGCGGCAUUUUCUCUUCAAACUGUCCAGGUCCGAUGUGGCAUUUGAAGAAAGAAGGCGUGGGUCAAUAAUCAACCCGCACUUUCUCCUCCAAACUGCUGACGCGACUCUCACGCUUCUCAACUCAGCCAGCUGCCUGCAGGGACGGCCAGCUCUCUGUGAGACCUGCCAGGGAAGGGAUGGCCCGGCCGCGGGAUCGAGGGCACCGAGAGAAAAAUCCCUCCUGUCGAUGUUCCAUGGCCAGAAACUACCCUUGGCUGCUGCUGCUGUGUCCUUUCCAGGCAAAUCCCGCAGCCAUGCACCCGGCUCCACCAAAACCACUGAGGUUUUCUUUGCUAAGAAGACUCCAUGGCUCCCCAAAUUCCCCCCAAGUCCCCGUGCUCCCAGCCUCCCGCCCACAGGGACCAGAAGAAACCCUUUUCUCAGCACUAGAAGAAUAUUUGGAGCAGCGAGGGCACGCUGCUGCCUUCUCAGGGGUCUUCUUAUGAAGUGUCUGAGAGGCCACCGUGGCUGGGAGCGCUGGCUGGGCAGCCAGGGACCAAGGUGAGGAACGACUGUUGGCAAGAAGAGGCAUCAAAACCCCCAAAUGGGGAGGACAGUUCAUGAGGAAAUACACUUGCCUGUGAGGGCGAGGCUGGCGCUGGGAGGGUGAAAAGGGGCUAAGCUUUCUUAUAGCUACAGUUUAGCUGUAACGGAGUAGCUCUAGCUCUUUCCUUGGAGGAAAAGCCAACCGGUGCUCUCUGUAUGUGGCUGUUGGUUUCCUCUCACUGUGCACACUUUUGUACAGAACCAGUUGGAGAGUCCUCCCUUAGAUAUUUAUUCUGCUCGCUAGUACUGAAGCAACAAUAAAAAGAUGCCUUUAACAAA